GAGCCGAGAUUGCGCCAUUGCACCCCAGCUUGGGCAACAAGAGUGAAAUUCCGUCUCAAAAAAAAGAAAAGAAAAAGAAAAAGAAGUCAUCUGUUUAGAUGUAAGCCAUUCUAGGGGAUAGGUGUGAGGAGACCUUGCAACCCCGUGGGAAUACAUUUAAAUUUUUCUAGGAGGAACAGUCUUCCCAGGAAAUGGGAUACCGAGGUUCCUAACUUGACCUGGCAAUGUAGGGAUGCCCUGUGGACAGGGGCCCCAUGUGGCUUAGGCGAAAGCUCCUGAGGUGCAGGAGCAGAUGGGGAAGGCAGUGGGAGUCCUCUGGAGCACAGAGUCCUUCUGCCCCACUCCGGAGGAUGGAAAGGCAGAUGGAAUACCAUGUGGUUCUUACCUCAUUUCAUGAAAUAGCAUCUAGGAGGCAGGCACCAAUCUCCCCAUUUUACAGGGGUAGAGACAGGAGUGGCAGAACAGGGCUUUGAAACUACUCAUUCAUUUAUUUAAUGUGCACCAGGCCCUAGCCUGGGUCAAACAUGGAAUCAGUGGCCAAGAGAGCUCUCACCCAGCCUAGGCAGCUUGGAGGGUCGUGUGGCUUUCUGAAGGGUGAGUGUGGGAUGUCUCUCUGCCUUCCUGCUUCUACCCACCCAUGCCCCAUCCCCUUGACUGCGGCUUCAGUCCCUUUUUCUGGCUCCACACUCGUCUUCCAUCUUGACCUUCACUAGACUUGGACUCUCCCAUCCACAGCCCUUUUCCUGGUUUCUUGCACCCAUGCUUGUGAGCUGGAAUCACACUGUACGGUGGCUCCUCCUGCUGCCUAGCCUCCAUGUCCUCGCCUCAGCCUAAUGAGAUCUGGCCACACUCCUGGCUGGGGCUGGGAGAGGGGUGGCCUGAAGUUAGCCAGAGGCACAGACGCAGCUCCCUUGAGGGGCUUCUGUUAUGGAAGUGUUCUGAGAGGAGCAGGCAGCUGGUUGUGCAGCUCUAGGCUCAGGAGAGAGGUGUGGGUGGGCAGGAGAGAUCUGGGCAUCUGCACAGAUGCUAGAUGAGUGGCUACUGUCACCCACGGAGGGAAGGAGGGAUGAGCAAAGAGCCGACAGCAGCCCUAGGGACCAUGAACCUUUUUUUAAAGACAGGAUCUCAUCCUGUCACCCAGGCUGGAGUACAGUGGCACAAUCACUGCAGUCCUCGACCUCCCCAGGCUCAGGUGAUCAUCCCACCUUGGCCUCCCGAGGAGCUGGGAACACAGGCAUGUCUGGUUCAUUUUUUAUUUUUUGUAGAUGGGGUUUUGGCAUGUUGCCCAUGCUGGUCUCAAACUCCUGGGAUCAAGAGAUCUGGUCACCUUGGCCUUUCCUUCAGUGUUGGAAUUACAGGCGUCAGCCACAGUGCCCUGCUGACCAUGAGCAUUUGAGUGAGGCCAAGCCAGGCACAGUGGCUCACACCUAUCAUCCCAGCGCUUUGGGAGGCUUAAGUGGGAGGAUUACUUGAGCUCUGGAGUUCGAGACCAGCUUGGACAACACAGUAAGACCUCAUUUCUGUUAUUUUAAAAAGAAAUAAUAAUGGCUGGGCAUAGUGGCUCACGCCUGUAAUCCCAGCACUUUGAGAGGCUGAGUCGGGAGGAAGGCUUGAGGCUAGCAGAUCGAGACCAGACUAUGUAACAUGCCAAAACCCUGUCUCUAUAAAAAGUACAAAAAUUAGCCGGGUGUAGUGACACGAGCCUGUAGUUCUAUCUACUCAGGAGGCAGAGAUAGGAGGAUCGAUUGAGCCUGGGAGGUAGAGGCUGCAGGGAGCAGUGAUCAUGCCACUGCACUCUAGCCUGGGCGACAGAGUGAGCCCGGCUCAAAUAAAAAAAAAAGAGUGAAGUGAGGGGCCACAGACUCACAGGAUAAUCAGGCCCACCUGAUUAUAAUGAGGCCCUCCUCACGAGGAGGUGAAAGUGAUAAGGACCUGUUAGAGUGGUGACUUGUGGCCCACGGGGGUUGUGGGGGCAGCAACAGGAGUAUGUCUUAGCCAAGUGGUUCACUGUUACCCACCCACUCAGCAUUCGUGUCUGGAGGGUCCACUCUGUGCCAGGCCAGGGCUGGAGCUGAAACGGCCUGGUCUGCAAGGAGCUCCCAGUCUGGUACACACAAGGACAGUCAUCCAGUGACACAGGAAGAUGUAGGAGAAACCUGUGGCAACGUGUGGAGCCACAGGGGGGUUUCCAAACCUGGCCAGCACAGGGUGGGGAAUGCUCUCUGCAAGUGACUUCCUUCCCAGGGCCUCAGUUAUGGCCUCUGCACGGUGGUCCUUUCCACUCUGAUCCUCUGAGGCCUCCAGGGUUCCCUAGGAACCGUCAGUGAACAAGAACACAUUCCAAUAAUCUGGGAAAUGGCCAAUUACCAGGCAUGGCCUGGGCCAAGCACUGCACUGCACUGCACUGGGAGCAAUGGGACCCUCAGCUCCCCUCUGUUCCGGGUUGGUGCCCUUCGCCCACGCCAUACCCAGGAAGCAGGGAGAGGAGGAAGAGGUGGGCAGGACAGGGUGGGAAAUCCUGAGAGCAGCUCUGGCUUCUUUCAGGGCUGGGUUAGAUGGCACCAAAUGAAAGGAGCAGCAGCAAGGGGCAGCAGGUGACAGAAGUCAGGCUGUGGCAGGUACAGGAGUGAUGAAAUGGAUGCUUAUUUCAAGCUGAACAAUUAAUAGUGAACAAGGCCAAAACUGGUGGCUGGUGGCUGCAGGAAAGAGGAAGUUGACAGAGGGGCUUAAAGGUCUCUGGCUUUGGGGAGGGGGGUAACUGGCUGUUUCUGGGCUCAGAGGGACCUUGUGGGAGGAAACGUGCCAAGUGGUGGAAUGCAACAGGCUCUGCAGUCAGAAUGUGAACAAAAACAGGCCAGGGGUCUUGGUUGUCUUUAAAAGCAGGGAUAAGGAUGCCACAGGGCCCUCCUGAGACUCAGAGGGUAAAGUGCUAGGUAUGUUAAAGGCUAGUAAAAUGAUACCCCAGGAAGCUUCCUUCCCUAAGACCUGCAGAUCCAGCUGACAGUGCAGGCCUGGUCUCAGCAGGUGUCAAAUUCUAGGCAGGGAAGGCCUGGCCAAAAAAGUCCUGGGCCUGGCUCAGCCCUUGCUGAGUCAGCACCACUGCUGCAGCACCCGGCAGCGGGCUGUACUGGGGGACUCAAAUAGUGUUUCUGGCUGGCACCAUUCAUGGACAUGGUCCAGCUCCACCCUCAGGCACACCCUUAUUAAUUCUGUGACCUCUUGGGACCCCAGGUUUGCCUCUUCAAAACACGGAUCGUAACACUCCCAGGGGGCUCCAGGAUGACUCCCACAUGGAGGCAGGAACACCUCUAUGUACCUCUUUUGGAGAGGCUGGGAAUGGGGAGAGAGAUCAGAAGCCCCAGGACCUGGGCCACAGCCAGCCCUCCCAUCUCCAAGAGCACAGGCCCCUGGCACUGCCCGCUCCCAGGAAGGAAGAAACCCACACAACUAACCAGUGUCUGAGAGCAUUUUUAUUAAGGGCAGCAGAACGGGAUCGCAGCAUCUUAGAAAGCCUAUUCUCUGCCGUGGUGGGGAGUGGGGAGCAGAGGGAAGGACCCGGCACACUUGAAGAAACCAGGCGGGUGUGAAUUCCUGAGUGAGCUAGGGGCAGCAGUGGGUGGCUGCUCCACAGCUCGCCCCUCCUCCAGAGGACCCAGCUUUUUGGUUUUGGAGCAGCCAAGGCUGUUCACCAGCUUGCUCAGAGCCUACCCUGAGGGCAUGGCUGGCAGGAGCAAGUCGCCCAGGCCUGAAGGAGAGACACCCACUGGCUCGAAAGCCAGGCCUCUGCUGACGGGGCCAACCCUGGGGUGCCAGUGCCAGGGCUGAGAGUCCCUGAGGGGCUGCUGGCACACAGGUAUCCUCCCGUGGUGAGCAGAGCGCAGUGAGGGGGUGACAGGCAGGCAGAGCUACGUUGGCAGAAAUAUGAAGCAAUGGGACAGUUUCCAAGAAUGGCAACAUUUCUGGAUCCAGAGAAGCAACAAGAACAAAUGGUGGCUUAUUUAGAUAGUUUCUGACAGAAUUUGGCAUUUUAUUACAAAUUGGAGUGUGAGUGAAAUAAAAUCCAUCAUCAUUUUUCUGCUAAUGAAGAGACAUAUACGGAAACGCCAGCCCGGUGCCCUUGCCAUCCUGGGCACACGAGUCUCCAGAAACCUGCCCUUGGCGUACCUAGGACAAAAGAAGCUGAGUUCAUGUACACACCACAGGGGCCACACGCCUGAAUGAUGUUAGGCUGCCUAACCUGCCCAUCACUCCCCACUUCUGCACAGAUCAGACCGGAAAGAUCUAGAAUUAAAAUUAAAACAAAAAGCAAAGUUUAAGUCAUCUUCUCCACAGGAUCUAGUCCCCCCAAAAGCCAAGAAGGGAAGCCGCCAGUGGAAGAAGCAGGGUUGGUGACACACGGCAUUUGGAUCGUCGGCUUCCUUGGGGUGUCAGAGCGACACAGAUUCUCUACUAGUUUGGGGACAAUCCCAUUUGCCUUGAAAAGACAUUAAUAUUCAAAUCUUUACAAGUUUAUCUGAUGAUAAAUUCUAAGGUCAAUUUUUA